GUCGUAACAAGGUCUCCGUUGGUGAACCAGCGGAGGGAUCAUUACCGAGUUUUCAACUCCCUAACCCUUCUGUGAACCUACCUAUCGUUGCUUCGGCGGACUCGCCCCAGCCCGGACGCGGACUGGACCAGCGGCCCGCCGGGGACCUCAAACUCUUGUAUUCCAGCAUCUUCUGAAUACGCCGCAAGGCAAAACAAAUGAAUCAAAACUUUCAACAACGGAUCUCUUGGCUCUGGCAUCGAUGAAGAACGCAGCGAAACGCGAUAAGUAAUGUGAAUUGCAGAAUCCAGUGAAUCAUCGAAUCUUUGAACGCACAUUGCGCCCGCCAGCAUUCUGGCGGGCAUGCCUGUUCGAGCGUCAUUUCAACCCUCGACCUCCCCUUGGGGGGGUCGGCGUUGGGGACCGGCAGCACACCGCCGGCCCUGAAAUGGAGUGGCGGCCCGUCCGCGGCGACCUCUGCGCAGUAAUACAGCUCGCACCGGAACCCCGACGCGGCCACGCCGUAAAACACCCAACUUCUGAACGUUGACCUCGAAUCAGGUAGGACUACCCGCUGAACUUAAGCAUAUCA
rnacentral:rRNA from 1 species